rnacentral:rRNA from 1 species
AUACAGAGGGUGCAAGCGUUAAUCGGAAUUACUGGGCGUAAAGCGCGCGUAGGUGGUUAGUUAAGUUGGAUGUGAAAGCCCUGGGCUCAACCUGGGAAUGGCAUUCAAAACUGGCUGACUAGAGUAUGGUAGAGGGAAGGGGAAUUCCAGGUGUAGCGGUGAAAUGCGUAGAUAUCUGGAGGAACAUCAGUGGCGAAGGCGCCUUCCUGGACUAAUACUGACACUGAGGUGCGAAAGCGUGGGUAGCAAACAGGAUUAGAUACCCUAGUAGUCC